GGAUACUCCAGGCACCCAGACCACUUCUGCCCAUUGGAGUGGUCUGGGUGCCAACUCCCACUACCCUUAACUCUGCAGCUGUAAAUAUUGCAGUUUUCAUAAACUGCAAUAAUUACCUUGCAGGGUUAACUCCUCCUCUAGUGGCUGUCUACUAGACAGCCACUAGAGGGCACUUCCUGGUUUCUAGCACAGGUUUUCUGUGCUAGAGCGUCGCUGGACGUCCUCACGCUGUGUGAGG